rnacentral:lncRNA from 1 species
CUGACAACUGCAAGGGACUCCUACUUCUACAAAGGGCUUAGCAAACAUUUAAAGGAAGAUUGGACUACAGGACAUCUCUAUGUGUAUCCUGCAGUCUGUACACACUGUACACACCUACCAUGUGAUUUAAGGAAGAAGCACGCAGCAGAAUGGCAUUUGGAAAAAGUAAGUCACUUGUGACCCUGAUGGGGAAGAGGGAGCAGUGAAAAAGCAGCAGUGAAUCAUGUGGAGGCUGGCUUCCAGGGCUGGGAGCCGAGAGGUUGCUGGAAGCUGCCACUGGCCUGAAUAGAGCCCAACUCACUCUGCUGCUCCCGGGUUUCCAGCUGCCCUGUGCGUGGCUGCUUUUGUGAAAAGAGCUGCACAUUUGCAAUUCGUGGCACAGUGGAAAAGUGCUGUGUGUUGGGAAUAGCACUGUUUGCAUGCAUUUUAGUGUGAGGUUAAAUGGCAAUGGAGACUGAGCUCACGUUGUCCCAGGAACACAAUGGCUGAGGUUUAACAUCUCACACC